UACGUAGGGUGCAAGCGUUGUCCGGAAUUAUUGGGCGUAAAGAGCUCGUAGGCGGUUUGUCACGUCGGAUGUGAAAACUCGGGGCUCAACUCCGAGCUUGCAGUCGAUACGGGCAGGCUAGAGUUCGGCAGGGGAGACUGGAAUUCCUGGUGUAGCGGUGAAAUGCGCAGAUAUCAGGAGGAACACCGGUGGCGAAGGCGGGUCUCUGGGCCGAUACUGACACUGAGGAGCGAAAGCGUGGGGAGCGAACAGG
rnacentral:rRNA from 1 species